CAGGGAACCACCUGUGUAGGAGGCUCUCCAGGAAAGACUGAACGGGAAAUUAGAGCUCAUAUUCCUGCCCUGCUUGGCUCACAACGUUGUCCUGAGAAUUAAAUGACAAAUGACCUCCAUCAUGGAUUUUUUCCCUCAUUCAUUCAGUCAAUAAUCAUCUGCCCAGUUCCCCUCGCCUCCCUGGCCCCUGUGGAAUAGCUGCAGAGGACUGCGAUGGUUUACACCAGCUGUCAGCUCCGGGGACCAUUGGCCACUCCCAUCAUGCACUCUGCCCGCGGAGGAAGCUUGGCGCGGUCACUGGAGACCUCAGCGCAAAUCAGUGCAAAUGCCUCCUGAAUCAAGUUUGCAAUCCUGGAAGUUUAGUAAAAACAAGCCGCUGUCAGUUUGGCUUCUCACAGCUGGAGGGGUCAAGUCAUCAACACAAUAUAAACCCAGGCCAGCAGAACCUUGUCCUGCUCAGGGCGCCAGACGCCCUCUGGGAAGCAAAGGGUUCGAAAAUGUCUUAAACUUUUCCAGUUUGUUUAUUUUCCAGUGUUUAAUGAUAUUGUCCAUGCAAGGAACCGAACCUCAGCUCCUGCUAACAAUUAAAGAGGUUUUCUAAUUGAGGAGAAAAUGUGAUUUCAAGAGAGAGAAAGAACUUGCACAGGAAGUAAAGCACAUAAUUCCCAUUGAGAACAUGCAUGCAGAAAAGCCUUGAGUUGAGAAGACCCUGAUCAAAUGUGAGCACUGUAGAGAAAGCUGUUGGGGGGACUGAUCCACCCAGGGGGCCUUUUCAGAGCAGGUCACAAAGUGUGCUCCUCUGGUCCCCCUCUGUUGUACCUGGUCACUCCAACACCACCACCAGACAGCUUCAAGAUUGUAGUGUCCUCAGACCUCACCAUCCCACAAGUGCACAUGGAUUCCCACCCAUGAAAAUGACCAGAUUUUACUGCUGUUCGAUCCUGUCUGCCAUAGGUUCACUCUGUGAUUCAGGGGGCCCCUUGGGAGCACCCCACAUGUGCUUAUCAGCAGGACUGUCAUGGGGAGUAGAUCCCAUAUCUCACCAAAGCUUUGUUCCCCCAACCCUGUUUGCUCUCUGAUGCUGUGCAGCCCACAGUCACCCCAGAGUGGGACUUGCUGCCAGCUGGCCUUCUGAAAACGCUGCCACCCAUGCCCAGGGCACUGUCCCAAAGCUCCCUCAAAAGGGACACACUGCCCACCUGGUGUCCUCUGUCCACUUGAGCUUCACAGUGUCCUGUGCCCCUCCCCCAUGCAGUCACACCCUGUCACCCGGACCCCAAACAGCACUGACCUGCCUGAAUCUCAUAGGACCC
ensembl:lncRNA